rnacentral:piRNA from 1 species
CAGGAUGGAACUUAGGCCUUCAGGACUAC